GACGAACGCUGGCGGCGUGCUUAACACAUGCAAGUCGAACGGUGAACCAGAGCUUGCUCUGGGGAUCAGUGGCGAACGGGUGAGUAACACGUGGGCAACCUGCCCCAGACUCUGGGAUAACCUCGGGAAACCGAUGCUAAUACCGGAUACGACCACUUCGGACAUCCGACGGUGGUGGAAAGUUUUUCGGUCUGGGAUGGGCCCGCGGCCUAUCAGCUAGUUGGUGGGGUAAUGGCCUACCAAGGCGACGACGGGUAGCCGGCCUGAGAGGGCGACCGGCCACACUGGAACUGAGACACGGUCCAGACUCCUACGGGAGGCAGCAGUGGGGAAUAUUGCACAAUGGGCGAAAGCCUGAUGCAGCGACGCCGCGUGAGGGACGACGGGCCUUCGGGUUGUAAACCGUCUUUCAGCAGGGACGAAGGCGAAAGUGACUGUACCUGCAGAAGAAGCACCGGCUAACUACGUG
rnacentral:rRNA from 1 species